rnacentral:rRNA from 1 species
CCUACGGGAGGCAGCAGUAAGGAAUAUUGGUCAAUGGACGCAAGUCUGAACCAGCCAUGCCGCGUGAAGGAUUAAGGUCCUCUGGAUUGUAAACUUCUUUUAUAUGGGACGAAAACAGAUCUUUCUAGGUCCUUUGACGGUACCAUAUGAAUAAGCACCGGCUAACUCCGUGCCAGCAGCCGCGGUAAUACGGAGGGUGCAAGCGUUAUCCGGAUUCACUGGGUUUAAAGGGUGCGUAGGCGGGUAGGUAAGUCAGUGGUGAAAUCCUGGAGCUCAACUCCAGAACUGCCAUUGAUACUAUCUAUCUUGAAUAUUGUGGAGGUAAGCGGAAUAUGUCAUGUAGCGGUGAAAUGCUUAGAUAUGACAUAGAACACCCAUUGCGAAGGCAGCUUACUACGCAUAUAUUGACGCUGAGCACGAACGACGUGGGUAGUACAACAGAUAGUAUACCUACGUAGUACGACGACCGUAACCG